rnacentral:rRNA from 1 species
GACGAACGCUGGCGGCGUGCCUAAUACAUGCAAGUCGAGCGAAUCACUGGGAGCUUGCUCCCGGUGGUUAGCGGCGGACGGGUGAGUAACACGUGGGCAACCUGCCUGUAAGACUGGGAUAACACCGGGAAACCGGUGCUAAUACCGGAUAAUCCUUUCCUGCACAUGCAGGAAAGCUGAAAGUCGGUUUCGGCUGACACUUACAGAUGGGCCCGCGGCGCAUUAGCUAGUUGGUGAGGUAACGGCUCACCAAGGCGACGAUGCGUAGCCGACCUGAGAGGUUGAUCGGCCACACUGGGACUGAGACACGGCCCAGACUCCUACGGGAGGCAGAAGUAGGGAAUCUUCCACAAUGGACGAAAGUCUGAUGGAGCAACGCCGCGUGAGCGAUGAAGGCCUUCGGGUCGUAAAGCUCUGUUGUUAGGGAAGAACAAGUACCGGAGUAACUGCCGGUACCUUGACGGUACCUAACCAGAAAGCCACGGCUAACUACGUGCCAGCAGCCGCGGUAA